GAUGAAGAACGCAGCGAAAUGCGAUAAGUAAUGUGAAUUGCAGAAUUCAGUGAAUCAUCGAAUCUUUGAACGAACAUUGCGCCCGCCAGUAUUCUGGCGGGCAUGCCUGUCCGAGCGUCAUUUCAACCAUCAAGCCCCGGGCUUGUGUUGGGGACCUGCGUCCGACGCAGGCCCUGAAAACCAGUGGCGGGCUCGCUGUCCACACCGAGCGUAGUAACUAACCUCGCUAUGGAGUGGCGCGGGCGCCUGCCGUAAAACCCCCAAUUUCACAAGGUUGACCUCGGAUCAGGUAGGAAUACCCGCUGAACUUAAGCAUAUCAAUAAGCGGAGGA
rnacentral:misc_RNA from 1 species